GCUCCUACCUACGCUCUAUGGUCUUGCAGCGGAAAGAUACCGGAGUAAAUUGCCUGUCUGACACCUUUGUUUCAUCUGUAUGUCGACGGUUACAAUUGUUUGGUGGACAGUCACUGCGAGCAGAGAUGAUAGUGGUCACAGUGAGGUAGAAUUUGAUCAAGAAGAUCUCCAAGGAAAUUGUCGACAUCUCAACCGUGAUGAAGAAUUUCAGAGAAAAGUGAUGGAAAUGCGUUAGGAUAUCCGCUCAUUGAAGAAACGGGAUGCAGAAAAGUACGAAGCAACUCAAAUUCAACAAGCGUCAACUGUUGAGGCUCUAAACCUCCUUGAUAGAUCCCUCGACUCCCUGGAGGAAAAACAG